rnacentral:tRNA from 1 species
GCUCCAGUGGCGCAAUCGGUUAGCGCGCGGUACUUAUAAUGCCGAGGUUGUGAGUUCGAUCCUCACCUGGAGC